UACGUAGGGAGCAAGCGUUGUCCGGAAUCAUUGGGCGUAAAGCGCGUGUAGGCGGUUCGGUAAGUCCGCUGUGAAAGUCGGGGGCUCAACCCUCGAAUGCCGGUGGAUACUGUCGAACUAGAGUGCGGAAGAGGCGAGUGGAAUUCCUGGUGUAGCGGUGAAAUGCGCAGAUAUCAGGAGGAACACCAAUUGCGAAGGCAGCUCGCUGGGACGUAACUGACGCUGAGACGCGAAAGCGUGGGGAGCAAACAGG
rnacentral:rRNA from 1 species